UAUAGAAAUGUUUUUCUUAUGUAUGAUAAAGUCUUUAAAAGUAUAGCUGAUGGAAUAAAGGGAAAAUGGUCAGAAUGUUUCAAAUUUUAUUCAAUUGUUGUAAUUCUUAGGCGGAGAAUUAAAGAGAUGGAAGAAGAAUUACAGAAAACCGAGCGCUCAUUUAAAAACCAGGUAGUAAUUAAUACUGUCCUGUAGUUGCAGAAUUCUUUGAUAUCUAAUACAGACAAUUAUAGGCUAUUAUAAUGAGUCUGUAAAAACAUUUUUUUAAUGUGUUGUCUUUUUCAGAUUGCUAUGCAAGAGAAGAAAGCUCAUGAUAAUUGGGUAAGAUUUUUUUCCCCCUUUUCUUUAUUUUGUGCAUAGCCUACUGCAACUGAAUUUGAAUAUUUUCUCUUUAAUAGCUCAAAGCUCGUUCUGCAGAAAGAGCUAUAGCUGAAGAGAAAAGGGAAACUGCUAUUUUGAGACAGAAGUAUGUGAUUUUGGUAUCUUACUAUAUGUUUUAUAGUGUUUUAAGGUUAUGCUAGAUAUUAUCUAUGAUAGAUUGCUGUUUCAUAAUUUAGCCCAUUCUUUCUCAAUAUUCAAGACUAUUGGAAAUGGCCCAAAAGAUGGCAAUGCAGCAAGAAGAACCUGUGAUUGUAAAACCAAUGCCGGGAAGACCAAAUUUACAAAAUCCUCCUCGGAGAGGUAGGGGGCACUUUGUAAAAGGAGCUAUUUUAUUUCUUGGUGCAGAAUGUAUGUAAAUUACUUUUUAUUUCUGUGUGUAACGGUUAUGAAAUAAUCUGAACGAUUUGCUAAAGCGGGAGGUGGGGGUUGGUGUCAGGGAGAAGGCUGCCUUAAAGUAGUAACACGGCAUUGUUGCUUUAGGUCCCCUGAGCCAGAAUGGCUCUUUUGGUCCAUCCCCCAUGAGUGGUGGAGAAUGUUCCCCUCCACUGACAGCAGAGCCAGCUGGGAGACCUCCUUCUGCUACCCUUAAUCGAAGAGAUAUGCCUAGAAGUGGAUUUGGUGAGCAUUCACAUGUUGCUUUAUAGUAAACUGCUUCAAGGUUUUGGUUUUUUUUCCCUUUUGAAUAUUCUAAUGAAAACAUAGAAUUUGGGCCUGUACAAUAUAUAGAAGAUAAUUUCUUACUUUUUCUUAGUGAAUGUUUUCUAUAAAAUCUGUUCUAGAAUAGAAAACAUUUUUUUUUUUCCUGGAGGUCCCUGUAUUGUUUUUUUCUUUUAAAUUUUACACUGUGAAGUGUAAACCUUUAUAUUUAAAUUAAAUCUCUAUGAUGUUCCUUUCCCAAAUAUUAUAAAAGUAGCCUUAAACUUUAUGUAUCAUACAUAUUUCCAAUAUGAAAUACUGAGUCUUAUUUCCAAUUCUAAAUAGGACUGUAGUCUUGGUAAGAUUGGAAUUCAGGUUAUACAGAUUAAAGAAAAGCCAGCCUACACAUACUUAAGUCUAUAGCUUAAAGUUCAGGACCAGUACUUAUUAAUCUGCUGUUCUAUCAACCCAAGGCAGUUCUUUAUUUUAUUUAAGUCUCUUCAUAAAUUGUGAUUUACUAUUGAGCAACCCAUUUUUUAAAAUAUUUUUAAUUGUAGAUGGACAUGAUAUCUUUAUUUUUUAAAUGUGGUGCUGAGAAUCAAACCCAGUGCGUCACACAUGCUAGGCAAACACUCUACAACUGAGCUACGACCCCAAACCCUGGGCAACCCAUUUUUAAUGUUGCUUUGUAGUUAUUGUUGAACCCUGACCUGUCCACCAGUGGUUUAUUUCUUCUGAAAAAUACAUACAAGGGCUCUGAUCUUUCUUUCCCAAGGGUCAAUGGAUGGACCUUUACCUCGUACUCAAUGGUCUUCUGAGGCAUCUGGGAAACCCGUUGCCUCUGGUAAAGGGACCAAGUAAUUUCAAAGAAUCUAAUUGUGGAUGCAGGAUUUUUAUUCUUUUCAUGUUAGAAUAAGUCUGAAUCCAUUCUUUGAUCUCUAACAGACCCAGGAUGUGGUCCAGCUCACAUGAAUAGCAGCUCCAGAAGUUCUUCUCCAGCUAAGGUGACAGAUGAGGGCAAGGUAAGUUCUGUAGUUACUGUGAAUCAUGUGGUCGUGCAGGAACAUGUAGCUUUCCUACAGUACUUGCUCUUUGCUUUAUCCUUCUUUGUGUUCUAUUUGUACUAUCCCAUUUGUUUUUUAAAAAGCAAACUGUUCCCCAAGAACCUGAGACCCCCUCAAUUUCCACCAUUACUUCUUUGACUGAGCAUCCAGUUGGAGUAAGUACUUAGAGGUUGAGAACUGAAUUGGGUUUUAUUCUGUGCAUUUCUGGGAAGGAUAUUCAUAGCAUGACACUGAUCUUGUUUGCUUUAAAACUGCAUGCAAUAUUGAGCUUACUUUUCUCCUUAACUUGGGAAUGUUGCUUAAGUGUGUACAACUAUAAUGAACUACAGAAUGUGAAAAGUUAUCACUAUAUGUGGUGUUUUGUGUUGAAUGUUCUAAGGCAAAGUAAAUUCAUUAUAAAUUAUAUAAUUCAUCAUUUUUAUUUUUGUUUGGAAGAAUGCUAUUUAAGAAUUCCUCCAUUGUGCAAACCCUAUUUUGAGUGAUUUGAAUUAGAUUGGUAUCAGAUUUUCUGAAAGUGAAAUACUGUUUCAGUGAAACAAUGAUAAUCUGAAAUGACCUCUUGAGCCAGUCCCAAGCAAUGGUCUCAUUUGUUCACAUAAGUGCAUUCUCUUGUAACUGUGUUGCUAUUAUAUCUGGUAGGUCUUCUGCAGCUCUAUAAUAAAAUAAAUUUUUAAUUGUUUAGUUUCAAACCCACUACUCAUAGGAAAUGAUAAAUCAAUAUCUCAAAUGGUGUACAGUAAAUGAAAGUAAAUAUUAAAGCCUUGUCUUCCUUGGAAAUUUGUGUAUAUAGCACUGUGUUGGAAAAUACUUCUCAAGUUCCAGUGUAUAUAUAUUCCAGGAAUAUACAUCUCUGGAGAAAUCUAAGGGCAGCUUAGAUAAGACCCCAAACCCCUUUGUAGUAGAAGAUUUAAAAGAGAGCAAAGACCCGUUGUUAGAGAGGAGUAGAGGUGGGAAAAGCAUGGCUUGGAGGCAAACCUUGGGAUUGAGUUCCUUUAAUAUGCAGUGUGGCCUUCAACAAAUUAUGAUAUUCCAUUUGCUUUUGUUCCCUUUUAUUUAAAACAAGACAGUCUACUUAAAGAUCUCAGAGGUUGAAUAAUAUAUGAAAGACUUACUGAAGAUACUCUGAAUAGUAGCUAUUAUUACAUGGGUAGAGAAUGGAUUUUUCAUUUUAUUCUGUUCAUUCUUAAUAUGUAAGUAAUGAGCUAUUGUGAUGAAAGGGAAGUGAUGGGGAGGGGGGACUCCCUUUGAAAUAGAUUGUAGUGAAUACAGCAUGACAUACUGGUCAGAAAUCACCUCUGUAAAUAACCUCUGCCAGUCCUCUUGCCUUUCCCUUUCCUGUGCAGAUAUAAUCAGUAACAAACUGCUCCCUCUUGUGGCAUCCUUCUAACUUCUGUAAGCUGUCAGUGGGAAUACACAGGAGGGGUGGGGAGAGUUUUGUUGCACUGAUGGUGUUCUCUGGACAGGUGCUUGUUUUGGGUUUUAGCUUUUAUCGGUGUUGGUACUUUGUCUUAAUACAUAGGAAUUUUAAAACUUUUAACUGCUUUCAAAUCUUAAAUUGCAGGUUAAUAUGGCUAUGAAAGGGCCCCCUCCUUUCUCAGGGGUACCCUUCAUGGGCCCCCCGAUGGGACCCCCUAUAGGACGGCCUCCAUCACCUCCCAUUCGGCAUGGACCGCCACUUCAGCUCGAUGGGCCUUUUGGGCCUUGGCCAAUUCCUCCACCAUUUGGUAUGAUGAUCUGAACAGUAGUGAUUGACUUAUAAAUCACAUUCAUCUUUCAUUUCUAUUGCUUGCUAAAACAGUUGGUUGCUAUCUCAAUUCUUAACAAUGAAAGGAUAAAGCUGAGUACAUUUUAACUUUUCCUCCAGUUUUCUGGGACAUAUGGGACACUACAUAAUCUUAUACUGAGAUAGGCAAUAACUAUCUCUCAUAGACAAGGAUAAGGGGCUAUAUACAGAAAAGCAAGAAAUAUUACUUCUGCAGAUGUUUGUUGAAAAUCUGUUGAUAUGCACUGCAAUAGAUGGAAAGGUGGAUGAGACACAUGCCAUAACUUAAAAUUUUGUCACAGAUAUGAAAAUCCUAUAACAUAAAGUUUGUAAUCACCCAUAAUGGAAGCAUAAGCAGUAGGUUAUAGAAUAUAGAAAAGAAAAAGUCAAACCCUCCUUACCUUAAGAAAAGUCAGAGGGAAGUGUUAAAGAGGAGGAUUUAACAGUGACCUAAUAAAUGUUGCUGAUUUAAUUAGGUGGCUGUGGAAGGCCUUUUCCAGGAGGGCAUGCACCUUGAUUCUGAUGGCAUGUGUAAAGUCCAUGCUGAAAUACUUCAUGAAUUUUUAAUGGAUACAGUAAUAAAUAGUGGGAUUUCCUUUUAUCAAAAUUUAUUUGAUGUAGUAAAGUUCUUAUUUCAUAAUCUAUCAUCUUGUCAUGGUAAUAUAGUACUUCCAAAUAUAAAUGGAGCUCUUGUGAGAUAGAAAUAAUUUUGCAAUUAUAUAGUAGGGAAAGAAAAAAGACAAGCCUGGAGCUAGGUAGAGCCAUGUUUAAAUCCUUAAUAUGUUGCUUCAUGGAUGGUUGGCCAAAGGCUAUAACCUAAACUUGUUCCAUCUCAGUUUGCCUCAUCUGGCAAGUCAGGAUGUUCACCAGUUGAUGUUCUAGGCUUGGGAGAAAUUAAAGACUAUAUUAACAUACUUGAAAUCACCCUAGUUCAGAAAUUUCUGGGUAUUUACAUAACUUCCUUUUUAUUUUCCAGGUCCUGGUAUUCGUCCACCAAUAGGCUUCAGAGCAUAUGCACCAGGUGUUCCACCUGGAAAACGGGAUUUGCCUUUUGACCCUCGUGAUUUUUUUCCAGGACCCGCACCAUUUAGACCUUUAGGCUCAUUUGGCCCAAGAGAGCACUUCAUUCCUGGUGCCCCAUUACCACCUCCAACUCAUGGUCCCCAAGACUAUGGGCCACCACCUGUUGCAAAAGACUUAAUUAAGCCUUCAGGCUUUAAAGAUGAACCUCCACCUACACCUGAUUCUCAGAGU
rnacentral:lncRNA from 1 species